GACGAACGCUUGCGGCGUGCCUAAUACAUGCAAGUCGAGCGAGCGGCGGACGGGUGAGUAAUGUAUGGGGACUGCCCGAUAGAGUGGGAUAACUACUGGAAACGUUGGCUAAUACCGCAUCCUAUCGGAUAACCCAUAUGGGAUUAGCUAGUAGGUGGGGUAAAGGCUCACCUAGGCGACGAUCUCUAGCUGGUCUGAGAGGAUGAUCAGCCACACUGGGACUGAGACACGGCCCAGACUCCUACGGAGGCAGCAGUGGGGAAUAGUGCACAAUGGGCGCAAGCCUGAUGCAGCCAUGCCGCGUGUAUGAAGAAGGCCUUAGGGUUGUAAAGUACUUUAAGCGGGGAGGCGUUACACGCAGAAGAAGCACCGGCUAACUCCGUGCCAGCAGCCGCGGUAAUUC
rnacentral:rRNA from 1 species